rnacentral:rRNA from 1 species
AGCAGCCGCGGUAAUUCCAGCUCCAAUAGCGUAUAUUAAAGUUGUUGCAGUUAAAAGCUCGUAGUUGAAUUUCGGGAUCGAUACGUCGGUCGUGCCUUGGUACGUACUAGCGUUAUCGGUUCUCCCUUCUAACGAAUCGUGAUGUCAUUAAUUUGGUGUUACGGGGAGUUAGGACUGUUACCUUGAAAAAUUAGAGUGUUUAAAGCAGGCAAUCGCUCGAAUACAUUAGCAUGGAAUAAUGAAAUAGGACGUUCGAACCUAUUUUGUUGGUUUCUAGGAUCGACGUAAUGAUUAAUAGGGAUAGUUGGGGGCAUUAGUAUUCAAUUGUCAGAGGUGAAAUUCUUGGAUUUAUUGAAGACUAACUACUGCG